GUAAUAAGAGAUCGUUUAUUCUGGAGUCAUUUUGCGUGACCAUGGCCCAGGAAAACAGAUUUAGGCUACCCUAAGGUCCGCGUUUCAAUGGACCUGGAAGCAGUUUCAUAAAUUUUUCUGGUUUCACCAAGCAAAGAAAGGCAUAAAUCAACGCAAGUUUAAAGUGCAUUGGGUACAUCGAGAUAAAGCUUUUCUUUUUCUACAGCCCAAGAGGCUAUGUGAGCUUUGGGGUUGGUGGAAGUCAGUGGCCUGAUAAUAGAUUCUACAAGAUCCCGCCCUUCCCUAGGGCAGUUAACAGUCUCCAGAGAGAGAGGCUCCUCGGGCCAAGAAAACUGACAGUUAAGGCUGUUGGGACUUUUGAUUUUCCUUCAGUGGUGCGGCCGCCCAUAAAGUUCCCGUGUUUCUGUGAGUCACUAAUUACUCUUCCAAGUUAGACUUGACUGAGCUAAGUUCUUCGGACGACCGUGGGUUCCGUGUCGAGGGUGAAAAAAACAUUUAUUUAGCUUCCGGGAAGAGUUGACGCAAUCGUGCCACAUUCAAGACAGGUAGGGCAUCCACCCUCCUAUCUUUUGGAUCUUGGAGGUCAGGUUCCGAAUUUUAGGGGCGUCAGGAUUUGGUGGGAAGAGAAGGCAUCCCCCUUCGCCUGGGAAGUAUUCUAGCUCCUAGCCAGUUCCGCCCCGCUUCCACUGAGAGGGCUCCGACGUGCUAUGGCUUCGCUCUUUGGUGGAGACUCAUGGGCUCUGGUACCCAGUAGUGUGGAUAGGAAGAUCCUGAGUCCCAGAAAUGAUGAAUGAGGGGAUUCCAGUCUCAAGCAAGUGAUCCUUGGUGUGCUCGGUUCCUCUCUCUCCUCAGGGCAGAUUUAAUUGCCCUGAAUUUUCUAAUUCUUUGCAGCGGAGUCUCAAAUCCGCAGAGACGUGUUUCCUUCUUAUUGGGGUUUGAAUGCUUUGGUGGUUCAAGUACAAGAGGAGAGGUGUGAUCCUCUCUGAACUGGCUUCAGUGAGAGAACUGUGCAAUGAAUUCAUGACAAAGACCACGUAGCCUACAGUUGAAGGUCACCAUGGAAGGUUUUCAUUCUAGACUUCGUCUCCUUUUAGAAAAUUAGAGUAUGAACACUGAAGCUCGAGUUCACUUUUCAAAACAAUUAAAUAAAAACUUUUGUCAGAAUUCAUAUAACAUUUUGACAAAGAA